rnacentral:rRNA from 1 species
ACUCCUACGGGAGGCAGCAGUGGGGAAUAUUGCACAAUGGGCGCAAGCCUGAUGCAGCCAUGCCGCGUGUGUGAAGAAGGGCCUUCGGGUUGAUAAAGCACUUUUCAGUUGUGGAGGAAGGUGGUGUCGUUAAUAGCGGCAUCAUUUGACGUUAGCACAUGAAGAAGCACCGGCUAACUCCGUGCCAGCAGCCGCGGUAAUACGGAGGGUGCGAGCGUUAAUCGGAAUUACUGGGCGUAAAGCGCAUGCAGGUGGUUUGUUAAGUCAGAUGUGAAAGCCCGGGGCUCAACCUCGGAACUGCAUUU